rnacentral:rRNA from 1 species
ACGGCUCAGUAACACGUAGUCAACAUGCCCAAGGGACGUGGAUAACCUCGGGAAACUGAGGAUAAACCGCGAUAGGCCAAGAUUUCUGGAAUGGAUCAUGGCUGAAAUCUUUUUGGCCCUUGGAAUUGGAGGGCGGCCCAUCAGGCUGUUGCUGAGGUAAUGCCCCACCUAACCUCCAACCCGGACGGGCUUUGAGAUAAGGACCCCCGACCCCCGCGGGGGCAUAAGGGGGUCUGACCAAUUUGGCCCCUCACGCGCCAAAACCCGUAACUCUGCCAAAGCUUGACAGGGUUAUUUUGAGUGAUGCCCGUUAAGGGCACCUUUUGGUUCCACCAAAAAUGGUGCAGAAUAGGGGGUGAUGAAGUUUGGUGGCCAAUCUUCGUCACCACUACGGUGCUGAUUGGCCGGGACGAUGGUUGGCCAACUGCCUGCCCACCAGUCCCGGUGGUCUUUUGAUAGGUGCAACCGUUCUACAGAAGGAGAGACGGAGAAUAUAAAUGGCUAGGAGGCUCAGAUAGGUAAGGAGGAUUCACUGCUGCGGGGAAAAAUCCGCUGUACGUCCUAGAAUCACUGUUGGCGACCGCGUUCUUGCCAAAACAGUCUCUAUUGGGAGCGGGGGAUGGCUGGUGGAUCACCAACGGAUUAUAUACGCCGCGGAGCCCCCCCAGCAAAAGAUAUAUACACAUUCAAGCAGUACUCCUUCCAGAGAUGCUAAUCGGGCACGGAAUCCUUUUCUUUAUCUUAGUGCGACUAUGGUCUGGUCACCUAGACUUUAAGGAAUUGGAGGGGUGAGGUCG